AGCUGAUCAUCCUAGGAGAGCCUGAAGUAAAUAAAGAAGCAAGGAAGUUGGAUUCUCCAUGGAUGUGCUAGCAGUUGGUAGAGACUGCCCACAGUGAUGGCUCCCACAUCUGGACUCUUCAGCACCAUAAGACUCCUUUAUGUUCGCCCCCAAGAAAGACUGUGAGAUCCUGGAAGAUAUUGACUGAGCACCUAUUAUGUGCCAGACACUGUACUAAGUGCUGAGGUUAUAACAGUAAACAAGUUGAUCCAAAACAACGUCACGAGCAGGAAAGUUGACUCAAGAGGACCCAUAAAUCUAACCAGUAUGCCAUCCUGUCCUGACCUGCUCCCA